CGACCGGCGGACGGGUGCGUAACGCGUAUGCAACCUGCCUGACACAGGGGGAUAAUCCGAAGAAAUUUGGUCUAAUACCCCAUAAUACCGAUAUAGGCAUCUAUGUUGGUUGAAAGCUUUGGUGGUGUCAGAUGGGCAUGCGUUGUAUUAGCUAGUUGGUGAGGUAACGGCUCACCAAGGCGACGAUACAUAGGGGGACUGAGAGGUUAACCCCCCACACUGGUACUGAGACACGGACCAGACUCCUACGGGAGGCAGCAUG
rnacentral:rRNA from 1 species